GCCAAUUACACUGUUGUAUUGUAAUACUGGACCUGUACACUCAGCUGGGUUGUAUUGGACCUGUACACCUAGCUGGGUUGUAUUGGACCUGUGCACCUAGCUGGGUUGUAUUGGACCUGUGCACCCAGCUGGGUUGUAUUAAGACCGUUUACUUUCUUCAUAGUAGUGGUGCGGCCCUUUCAAGUGUGCAACACAUGUAAAAGCGUUGUCUUGGAGGCAUUACUGGGAGAUUCCACCAUGUUGUACCAGUCCUUUUCAAAUCAGUGAAGGGAAGUGAACAGUUGGUAGUCUCGGUCCUAGUCANNNNNNNNNNAUGAAAAAAAAAAAAAAUUCUAGUUGAGUCCUAAGGCGCUAUACAGAGAGUGGGAGAGAGGGGGUGUGUAUCUAAUGUAUGUACAUGUGGAAAUGGUAAGAUCUCAAUUACAUACUCCUUGCGUCCUCUUGUCUCCUCAAAACCCAUUUGAGGAGGGGAGUGACCUCUGGCUUUCUCAUGUAAUGGGUUUUUAAGGAGAGGCAGAGGAUAUUUAUUUUUAUUUCACCUUUAUUUAACCAGUUAGGCUAGUUGAGAACAAGUUCUCAUUUACAACUGCGACCUGGCCAAGAUGAAGCAAAGCAGUGCGACACAAACAACACNNNNNNNNNNGAACCUUUGCCCCAGUCUGAGGUCCUGAGCACUCUGGAGCAGGUUUUCAUCAAGGAUCUCUCUGUACUUUGCUCCAUCCAUCUACUGUCCUCUCCUAGACAUAAUAAAAACAGCCUACUAACAUAUCUACUGUCCUCUCCUAGAGACAUAAUAACACAGCCUACUAACAUAUCUACUGUCCUCUCCUAGAGACAUAAUACCACAGCCUACUAACAUAUCUACUGUCCUCUCCUAGAGACAUAACACAGCCUACACGGAGGGGGGCUGGAGAGAAUACCGGGGCAAUAGGCUCUAGCUCUAGCAGAUACCUUCUCAAGCCACAGAUGCUGCAAGACAUAUGAGAUCAGACAGGAUGUGGAACGAUGACUAGCUAGCUGCACAAGCAACAGUGGUUAACAUAACGCAUUGGACCAGAGAUAGUGUGCCAACGUGUAUGUGCGUAGCAUACUGACGCAAUGGACCAGAGCUACUGACUCACUCAAUACAUGAGACCAACAAACGUCUACAGGUAGCGCGGACAUACCAUGAGACUUGCAGACCACAUAGCUUCAACACGCAUAAUCUGCAGCCCACCAAGGCCAGCCCAACCUGGGUUGGAAAAUGGGGUUUCAUAGCUCUAGAAAGAGGCAGAGUUCCU
rnacentral:lncRNA from 13 species